CACACACUCGCGCGCUCACGCACGCCCCGCCUGCAGGGGCCAGCGGCGGCAGGAGGCCCGAUCUUCCCAUGUUGAUUCCUGAGAGAGUGGCCAAGGCACAUGGGCUCGUGGCCAGGAUUCAUUCAUCCAUUCACUCCGGCAUUUACUGAGCGCCUACAAUGCGUCAGGCACGUGGAAUCAAGGAAAGAGAGAAUGAGGAAGGAACAACAGAGACAGAGAGGCCACCGCUCACACCGCAAACUCACGGGAAGGAUUCCGCACUGCCAGUGACACCAAGCCAAGGUUCAAGAGACUUCUAGCGGCACCUCUCUUGGCGCCCUGGCUGAUACACCAGGCAAUCAACCAUGUCUCCAUUUUUGCAUUAGCCACUGAAAAUGCUCAGAACUGAUUUUGCAUCUUUCCUACGAGCCACAGGACCUUUGGCCAAGUCACUUAAACUCCAUGAGCCUAAAUCUCCGGGUGGGGUUAAUUACCACCUGUCUCUUAGGGUAGCUGUGGAAAUAAAAUGAAAGAUUAUGAUAUAAUUUAUUAAGCA
rnacentral:lncRNA from 1 species